UAAUCAAUUGAUUAAUAAUAAAAGUCAAGAUGUGGGAUGUGAAAUAAAUAAUUACUUCUAAGUCUUCAUGUGCGACUUGUAUGAAUUUAAGAAAAAAUAGCCAAUGUAAAGGAACAGCAGAAAUUAUAAACAAACAAUUUCUACAAGUUAUAAAUAUGAGAAGGAAAAUAAAAACUCAGAGAAAAACGAUAGAAAUAUUAGAAACAAAAAUUAAAAACGGUAAGUACAAAAGAGCUUUGACAUCAAUUUUUAACGAAGAUCAAAUCCAGACUUUAAUGAUGAAAAAACGAAGUUGAAAUUGGUCUCAUAAAACUAUUCAACGUGCUCUACAAUUUAAAUUUGUUUGUGGACGUAGCGGCUAUGAUCAUUUUUAAAAAUAAUUAAAAGGUUUGCAGUAUUUAGACUAAGAAUAAUGCGUAAAAACGAUAUUAAUAAUAAUGGUAGUAAUAAGCGUUACGAUAGUAAGUCUAUGGCUGUACAUGCUUUUUUUAAAUAAAUUUUGUAAAUUUAAAAGU